GCUGGACGCGGUGGCACGUGCCUGUAGUCCCAGCUAUUCGGGAGGCUGAAGCUGGAGGAUCUCUUGAGCCCAGGAGUUCUGGGCUGUAGUGUGCUAUGCCGAUCGGGUGUCUGCACUAAGUUCGGCAUCAAUAUGGUGACCUCCCAGGAGUGGGGGACCACCAGGUUGCCUAAGGAGGGGUGAACCGGCCUAGGUUGGAAACAGAGCAGGUCAAAACUCUUGUGCUGAUCAGUAGUGGGAUCGUGCCUGUGCAGUGGCAUCAUCACUGCUCACUGCAGCCGUCUCCUCCUGGCUUCAAGCAGUCCUCCCACCUCU
rnacentral:SRP_RNA from 1 species